AACGAACGCUGGCGGCAUGCCUAACACAUGCAAGUCGAACGAGACCUUCGGGUCUAGUGGCGCACGGGUGCGUAACGCGUGGGAACCUGCCCUUAGGUUCGGAAUAACUCCCCGAAAGGGGUGCUAAUACCGGAUAAUGUCUUCGCACCAAAGAUUUAUCGCCUUUGGAUGGGCCCGCGUUGGAUUAGCUAGUUGGUAGGGUAAAAGCCUACCAAGGCGACGAUCCAUAGCUGGUCUGAGAGGAUGAUCAGCCACACUGGGACUGAGACACGGCCCAGACUCCUACGGGAGGGAGCAGUAGGGAAUAUUAGACGAUGGGCGAAAGCCUGAUCCAGCAAUGCCGCGUGAGUGAUGAAGGCCUUAGGGUUGUAAAGCUCUUUUACCCGGGAUGAUAAUGACAGUACCGGGAGAAUAAGCUCCGGCUAACUCCGUG
rnacentral:rRNA from 1 species